rnacentral:rRNA from 1 species
GACGAACGCUGGCGGCGUGCUUAACACAUGCAAGUCGAACGGAAAGGCCCUGCUUUUGUGGGGUUCUCGAGUGGCGAACGGGUGUGUAACACGUGAGUAACCUGCCCUUGACUUUGGGAUAACUUCAGGAAACUGGGGCUAAUACCGGAUAGGUGCUCCUGCUGCUUGGUGGGGGUUGGAAAGUUUCGGCGGUUGGGGAUGGACUCCCGGCUUAUCAGCUUGUUGGUGGGGUAGUGGCUUACCAAGGCUUUGACGGGUAGCCGGCCUGAGAGGGUGACCGGCCACAUUGGGACUGAGAUACGGCCCAGACUCCUACGGGAGGCAGCAGUGGGGAAUAUUGCACAAUGGGCGGAAGCCUGAUGCAGCAACGCCGCGUGCGGGAUGACGGCCUUCGGGUUGGAAACCGCUUUCGCCUGUGACGAAGCGUGAGUGACGGUAAUGGGUAAAGAAGCACCGGCUAACUACGUG